AUCCAAUUGACGAGUCCCAAAUAGGACUAAAUCCUCAUCCUGGAU
rnacentral:hammerhead_ribozyme from 1 species